GCCGGGCAUGAUGGUCUGUGCUUGUAGUCCUAGCUACUCAGGAGGCUGAGGAUGGUGGAUCACUUAAGCCCAGGAGUUCUGGGCUGCCAUGUGCUAUGCCGAUUGAGUAUCUGCACUAAGUUUAGCAUCAACCCCUGGGAACAGGGGACCACCAGGUUGCCUAAGGAGGGGUGAACCGGCCCAGGCUGGAAACGGAGCAGGUCAAAUACAAGAUGGGAGAGACAUGACUAGAUAAACAGUUCAUAUAAAAAAGAUCCUGGGUUUACAGAACCAAGUGCUA
ensembl:misc_RNA Metazoa_SRP Metazoan signal recognition particle RNA